AGAGAGAGAGAGAGAGAGAGACAGAGAAGCAGAGAGACACGUCUUAUUGCAGACAGUCCACCUGAGGUCAGUAUAAGACCUGCUAUGGCAAGCAGUCCACAUGGGGUCAGUGUAAGUAAGACCUGCUAUGACAGACAGACCACCUGAGGUCAGUGUAAGACCUGCUAUGACAGACAGACCACCUGAGGUCAGUGUAAGACCUGCUAUGACAAACAGUCCACCUGAGGUCAGUGGUCAGUAUAAGACCUGCUAUGACAAACAGUCCCCCUGAGGUCAGUGGUCAGUAUAAGACCUGCUAUGACAAACAGUC